AAGAUUGGACACUUUGCUAAGGAAUGUCCCUAGCCUAAGAAGUAGCAGACGACCUACCCAGCCCAUGUGCAUCACACCUCGAUUGAAGAGAUUACGGAAGGAGAACUGGUAACAGCGGUAUGUUCCCGAUCAACCAACAUCUCGUAGUUGUUUUGUUUGAUACAGGGUCAUUGCAUUCAUUCAUGAGUCAAGCAUUUGCACAAAAGCAUGAUC
rnacentral:lncRNA from 1 species